UACGGAGGGUGCAAGCGUUAUCCGGAAUCACUGGGUUUAAAGGGUGCGUAGGCGGCGCAAUAAGUCAGAGGUGAAAGCCUGCAGCUCAACUGUAGAAUUGCCUUUGAUACUGCUGCGCUUGAAUCAGGUUGAGGUUGGCGGAAUGUGGCAUGUAGCGGUGAAAUGCAUAGAUAUGCCAUAGAACACCAAUUGCGAAGGCAGCUGACUGGGCCUGAAUUGACGCUGAGGCACGAAAGCGUGGGGAGCAAACAGG
rnacentral:rRNA from 1 species